CCUACGGGUGGCAGCAGUGGGGAAUCUUGGACAAUGGGGGAAACCCUGAUCCAGCGACGCCGCGUGCGUGAAGAAGUAUUUCGGUACGUAAAGCUCUGUCAGCAGGAAAGACAAUGACGGUACCUGACUAAGAAGCCCCGGAUAACUACGUGCCAGCAGCCGCGGUAAUACGUCGUGUGCCAGCUUUAUCCGGAUUUACUGGGUGUAAAGGGAGCGUAGACUGCAGCGCAAGUCUGGAGUGAAAUGCCGGGGCCCAACCCCGGAACUGCUCGGGAAACUGUGAGGCUGGAGUGCAGGAGAGGUAAGGAGAAUUCCUGGUGUAGCGGUGAAAUGCGUAGAUAUCAGGAGGAACACCGGCGGCGAAGGCGGCUUACUGGACUGUAACUGACGUUGAGGCUCGAAGGCGUGGGGAGCAAACAGGAUUAGAUACCCUAGUAGUC
rnacentral:rRNA from 1 species